AAUUCCAAACAAAAAAGAAAAAAAGAAAAAAAUUAUAUAUGGAGGCUUGUAUUUCAUUGUUGGAUCCAUUCUUAGAUCUCUUGCUGGGAAAGCGGCGGAGUACACAGUUGAUCCCAUUGCACGACAACUUAGUUACUUGUACAAGCACAAGAGCAAGUUACAAAACCUCAGGGAUCAACUUCAAAAACUGAAGGAUGCGAAAGAAAGAGUGCAAGAGAAUGGUAAUGCGGCUAAGAGACAGGGAGAGGAGAUAUUUAGCUACGUGGAUGAGUGGUUGUCUAAGGUCAAUGGGAAGAUGUGUGACGUGGAUGAGUGGUUGACUAAGGUCAAUGGGAAUAUCUGUAACGAGGCUGCUGCGCAAUUGGAUGAGGAUGAAGAGAAAGUAAAGCAGGGGUGUUUCGUUGGGUUGUGUCCUAAUUUUAAGUAUUGUUAUCAACUCUGUAGAAAAGCUGAGAGAGAGUUCAACACCAUUGCUGAACUCUUGAAAGAUAACGACCGAUUUGAUGGAGUAUCCCACCGACCUGCUCCAGAAGGGAUAGCUAUUAGACCUGCCAAAGAGUACGAGGCCUUUGAGUCAAGAAAGGGUGCUUUGGAUGCGGUCAUGGAGGCGCUUAAAGAUGCUAAUUUGAGCAUAAUUGGUGUUUACGGGACGUGCGGUGUGGGUAAAACUACCCUAGUCAAACAAGUUGCUAGUCAAGCCAAGGAUGAAAAUUUGUUUGAUGAGGUGGUCAUGGCAGCCGUAACCCGGAGUUUUGACAUCAAGAAAAUUCAAGAUCUGACUGUAGAUCAAUUGAGUGUGGAGUUUACAAAGCAGAGUGACCCCGGAAGAGCAGGCGAACUACGGAACAGACUAAAGAAUUUCAAGAAGGUUCUUGUCAUUUUGGAUGAUAUUUGGGAGAAAUUGGAUUGGAGGCUCUAGGAAUUCCUUACGGAGGUGAACACCAAGGAUGCAAGAUCUUACUGAUGUCUAGAGAGCUCAAUAUUUUAUCUUUGAUGCUUUCGCUGAAAAACAUUCGAAUUGAAAUAUUGGAAGAAGAAGAAGAAGCAUGGAACCUGUAUAAGAAGAAGGCUGGUGAUAUUGUUCUAAGCCACUGACUUGCAUAUUACGGCAAUUGAAGUGGCCAAAUAAUGUGCUGGAUUGCCGAUUGCCAUUGUAACAGUGGGGGAAGCUAUGAAAAAUAAGAAGAAUUUGUUUGAAUGGAAGACUGCUUUGCAAGAACUAAGAAGGCCCUCUAAAAUACAUUCCUUUCUCCAAUCAAAACCAACAAUGAUUUUUGGCAGAAUCCCGUGGAGGAAAUGCAGAAUUCUAUAGAAGAUCGAGGCAAUCCUUCAACUUCGAACACACAAUCAACAUAGUCGAGAAUUCUGAAGAUCAGCUCAAUCCUUCAACCGCAAAGAAACAGAGUAAGCCAAAAAUUCUUUCUAUGCAUCUUGAGACCAUAUAGCUUUUGUUGUACUCAUCUAAUGCAAAAGGUUUUUCUUUCCUUGAGUAAUGGGUGGCAGAAGGUUUUUUUGUUCUUCCUGAACGUUGCAUAUGUUAAUUUGUUUUGAUUGUUAAUUGUCAUAUUACUAAACGGUAGUGCUGCCAUACUGUUCUAUCUCUAAAGACAAGUUUAAUCGUGUUGCAUUUGAUCAACCUGUAAAUGGUCACAGCUUGUGUCUUUUAGGCUUUUUUGUUUCUAUGAUAACUAAUUUUAGCUUGCCAUGUAUUAUUUGAUCAACCUCAGAAGUGAUAACUUAUGUACGACUUUUCUAUUUUUAAUGAUCUGGGUAUUGUGAAGUUAAGGAUGACAACAAUUCUGAAGUCAGAGGAUGAGAAAUAUUCUGAAGUGGCAAAAUGACAAGGGUUCUGGAGUUGGGGAUCACAUACUUAUUUUGAACUAGACGAUAAGGAGACUUUUUCAAUGGUGAAUUUCAAGGAUUUGCCACUCUCCCUUUUUGAGAAGGUGAUUUUCUGCUGCAUUGAACCAAUGGCAAAUUCUUGAGUCCAUUGGAUGCCCCAAGGUGUGCCGUGCCUACAACAGCUUGUGAAUGGGCAGUUUAUCCAUCCUGACUGUAACAUGUUCCAUUCUACUUGACCGUCGUGCUGAGUUCCGUACGUCCUUGUGGAAUUUUUUGUAGCCCUAUUAUGUUUUAUUAGUGGCAGAGUUCGGAGGCAUGAUUUGAUGCAUCAUGGUGCACAAGCAUUCAACUGUCAAGGAGGUGGAUGGUACGGGGAAAUUGGGCAGAGCGAAUGCUCCUCCCCGAUUUCUGAUAUGGUGAGGGCUAACGCCACCUAAUCCUACUGAUUGAAUGGAAGAAUGGGAAAGAAUCCAAUCGGCACUGAAUGUUUACAAAGUAUUUGUCUCACGUCAAGUGAAGAAGCUGGUUCUUUUCAAACUUAGCAGAAGCUUACUAGUUUCAUUUUUCGUUAAUUGAAAACAUAUACAAGUCAAACACUUGCAGGAAGGCCCAAUGGUUGAGAACUCGUAGAAAUGGAGCAGUUUUUUCUCAUUUUCAUUUUGGACAUUUUCUGUUAGCAUUGACAUAAACAGAACAACCUGCAGCAAGGAUCUUGGUCCUUUGAAAACACUAUAGACCAAGAGUUGCCAACUAUAAGGAACAGAAGAUCAUUGUUCAAGUACAAUGGUUUUUAUUUACAACAGACAUCAGUUUUAAAGUUGGAUUUUUCAGUUAUUUUCUUGAAAGAGUCUUAGGCUUCAAAUCUUAUAAGAGGUGUCUUAUUUUCGUUUUAAACACUGAUAAGCAACUAUGGGAAUUUAAGUUAAUGAAGUUAAUUUAUUCUAUUUGCAGCGGGAAAUGGCUGCUCAAAUUUCUAUCAUCGAUAAAAACCAGUUUUAGUACCAAUUUGAUGUCGCAAUGAACCUGGAAUUUACUAGUAGGGAGUUAACAUAUUCAAAUGAAGAAGAAAAUUUACUUGUUUAUUCGGUUUGUGUUUAUUAAAGGAUUUAGAAGGAAAGAAACUGUUCAUUUGUUUCGUUUCAGUUUACGCAGUGGAUAGAUCUUAGGCUUGAAUCUCAGUACAGAUAAUACUACCUCAUCCAUCUGACAAGCCUUGAAAACUAGUAGCCCAACAAAAGACCAUAAAUGUGGCUAAAAUAAUGUAUUAGAAAAGAGCUAAAUAUAUGCUACUAUUGGUGAACCAUUUAAGAGAAAAAUAGUAACUCAAACCCAAUACCAACAAACAUAUACGCUACUAUUUCCAUUGUUGUAUCCAUUCCUGGCUCUGUUGUUGGCAAAGCGGCGGAGUACACAGUUGAUCCCACUGCACGACUAGUUAGUUACUUGUUCAAGUAAACGAGCAAGCUUCAAAACCUCAGGGAUCAGCGUCAAAAACUGGAGGAUUCAAGAGAAAG